rnacentral:rRNA from 1 species
UACGAAGGGGGCUAGCGUUGCUCGGAAUCACUGGGCGUAAAGCGCACGUAGGCGGCUUUCUAAGUCAGGGGUGAAAUCCUGGAGCUCAACUCCAGAACUGCCUUUGAUACUGGAGAGCUUGAGUCCGGGAGAGGUGAGUGGAACUGCGAGUGUAGAGGUGAAAUUCGUAGAUAUUCGCAAGAACACCAGUGGCGAGGGCGGCUCACUGGCCCGGUACUGACGCUGAGGUGCGAAAGCGUGGGGAGCAAACAGG